GAUGAACGCUAGCGGCAGGCCUAACACAUGCAAGUCGAGGGGUAGAGGAAGCUUGCUUCCUUGAGACCGGCGCACGGGUGCGUAACGCGUAUGCAAUCUACCUUAUACAAAGGGAUAGCCCAGAGAAAUUUGGAUUAAUACCUUAUAGUAUUAUGAAAUCGCAUGGUUUUAUAAUUAAAGUUCCAACGGUAUAAGAUGAGCAUGCGUCCCAUUAGUUAGUUGGUAAGGUAACGGCUUACCAAGACAAUGAUGGGUAGGGGUCCUGAGAGGGAGAUCCCCCACACUGGUACUGAGACACGGACCAGACUCCUACGGGAGGCAGCAGUGAGGAAUAUUGGUCAAUGGGCGGAAGCCUGAACCAGCCAAGUAGCGUGCAGGAUGACGGCCCUAUGGGUUGUAAACUGCUUUUAUACAGGAAUAAAGUUAGCCACGUGUGGUUAUUUGUAGGUACUGUAUGAAUAAGCACCGGCUAACUCCGUGCCAGCCGCCGCGGUAAAAC
rnacentral:rRNA from 1 species